ensembl:lncRNA
GAGGGAGGGAAACUGAGACAUGGUUGGGAGAGAGCGGGAAACAGAGAGACAUGGUUGGGAGAGAGACAUGGUUGGGAGAGAGCGGGAAACAGAGAGACAUGGGAAACAGAGAGACAUGGUUGGGAGAGAGGGAAACAGAGAGACAUGGUUGGGAGAGAGGGAAACAGAGAAACAUGGUUGGAAGAGAGAGGGAAACAGAGAGACAUGGUUGGAAGAGAGAGGGAAACCGAGAGACAUGGUUGGUUGCUUUACUCUGACACCCCCCCCUCUCCUGUUUUUUAACUCAGCCUCACACCUCUCUGGCAUGGCCUGAUAGCUGGUCCUUAUCUGGUGUGUCUGCUGGCUGUCUCCCACACACUGAGACCAAAUAGUCCCUGUCUGGUGUCUCUCUGCUGGCUGUCUCCCACACACUGAGACCAAAUAGACAACUAUAGCAGGCUUUCCUGUCCCCCUGUUCCUGUCUGAAGACACCCAUAUCUUUU